rnacentral:ncRNA from 2 species
GGUCAUGAGCGCCAGCAUCGAGCCCCGGCUUGCUGGCCGGCAACCCUCCAACCGCGGUGGGGUGCCCCGGGUGAUGACCGGGUUACUCGGUCCGUGAUCGUGCGGAGCGAGAGCAAGCGCGGGCC